rnacentral:rRNA from 1 species
GGAGGGUGCGAGCGUUGUUCGGAAUUACUGGGCGUAAAGCGCGUGUAGGCGGCCUUGCAAGUCAGGCGUGAAAGCCCUCGGCUUAACCGGGGAAGUGCGUCUGAAACUGCUUGGCUUGAGUACGGGAGAGGGAGGCGGAAUUCCCAGUGUAGAGGUGAAAUUCGUAGAUAUUGGGAGGAACACCGGUGGCGAAAGCGGCCUCCUGGACCGAUACUGACGCUGAGACGCGAAAGCGUGGGGAGCAAACAGGAUUAGAUACCCUGGUAGUCCACGCGGUAAACGAUGGGCACUAGGUGUGGGGGGUAUCCACUCCUCCCGUGCCGAAGCUAACGCAUUAAGUGCCCCGCCUGGGGAGUACGGCCGCAAGGUUA